CAGGGUGUGCCUCUCCCUCAAACGUGCCCCUAAGCUGUGCAUCCACCCAGAACCUCAGCGCUCCAUACCUUCUGGGGUCAGCACAUCAGGCAGCAGACACGUGGCUGGGCUGCACAGCGAGUGGUCGGAACCCUGGGAUAAACUUGGUUAUUUUAGCAGCACCCCAACCAGGUAUCUCUUUUCUGUCAUGCUGAGUCCCUGCGUUCAGCCAGUAGCAGCAAGUGCAGCGAGCGCCGCGGCUGUGUCUGGGCCGUGAUUCCGCCUCCACGCGCGUGUGUCAGGGGCUCAGAACACGCCUUUUGUUCCCGGGACUCACGGCCUCUCUGAACCCGGUCUAAAACAGCUGCAAUUCUUCCCGGCAUUUGUCACUGCCUGGUGACUAAGGCUCUGGUCCGUCAAUCUUCAAAUCCUGCAAUUAUUUCUCCACCUAGGUUUUUAAGAAUAAAAGUCGAAAAUAUACUCCACUGGCAGCUCCAGAUUUGAGUCCUGUUUCAGACGCACCUUCUACUGAGCGCCAUUGAUGGGCACCACAGCUCACGACGUCCUGGCGAAUAAUUCACACUGACCGUAGUGACUCUUCGAAAAGGCAGCAGGUUCUGAAACUCAUACUUCCUGUUAGUGAAAGGAGACAUUGCUUUUUCCUCCCCACAGGGAUUCUGUAAAAAUACAGAUACCUAGUCCUGAUGAGGCUGUGGUGAAAUUACAACCGGCUGCUGAUAGGAGCGUGGGUUAGACACUUCCCUGGAGCGUAACGUAUUGGGCGACAUAUGUGAAGAAUCUAGAGCUAUACGCUACUCUUUUCACUGAUCUUUUACUCUUUUACCUCGAGGAAUUUGUACUAAGCAAGUAAGCAGCAAUGCACACAAAGAUUUGCUUACAAGGAGAAAACUCUUCAGAUGGCUUGGAGCUGUUUCAGGCGGAGCCUGCAGAUCAAGGAGAGCUGGGGACGUUGUCAUAGGGGCCAGCUCGCUGACCUGAAGACUGCAAGGUGAGCUUUAACCAGACAAGAGUGCUGGAGGAUUCAAGUCAAACUACUACACCCAGACAGGUCAGGAAAGAAUCCAGAGAGCUCUCCAGUGUUCCUGAAGACACUGGCCCAAACAGCUUUAAAGGUUCAAGACAUCUUGGCUAUUCCCAAGAGGAAAGCAAAAAAGAUAAUCCACUCAUAAACAUACAAACAAACCUGUAAUCCAGGCUUUGGGUUCAGUUGUUGCCUCUAAAUAAAGACAUUCUGGAACUGAGAAACAUCCAAAACCCUAUCCCCAAAAGGAUGGAGCCACUUCUGAAGAAUGGAAGGAUUUCAAGCUAGAUUCUUCACCCCAUAAAAAUGGUGGCUUGGCAUCCAUCAGUUAUGGGAGAAAGUGGAAUUUUCCAUCAGCUUCUGUUCCACCGGGCCCAGCAGAAUCCAGGAUAAAUAAUGAAAAGGAAACUUUACUGAGCACUCGCUCGUGCCAGGCCCGGUUCCCCAUCUCCACGUGGGGCAGUCUGCUGGACCCCCUCAACAUCGCUUCAGCGUAGAUAUUAUUAUCACUUCUCCAUUUGAGGAAAUGGGGAAACUGAGUCCAAGAGUUGACGGAACUUGUCACAAGCUGACAGGGCCAUCGGAGGAUCUGGAAUCGAACCUGGGCAGUGUGGCUCCAGGGUCCAGAGCUCACCCAGGGUAUUAAAUGCAUUUUCCUAUUUUCUGUAUUCUUGAUACUCUGGCAACUGGAACCUUUCCCAAGGUUUGCCACUUCUUAGAAAGAACAAACGUGACUUUCACGAGUAAACUAACAAUCCGGAGCCCCCAUUCCAAAUCGUUCUUUUAUCAGCUCUUACACUGUGGGGGGCACUACCCCUCAGCCGUAAUCACCACAGGGCCAGGGACCAGGCAACCAGAGACGGACCCUGCCCUGGAGCCUGCCAAGAUUAUUCAGACUAGUCAGCAUUCAUCCUGCUUACCUGCGUAGCCUUGCCUUUCUCGUGGGAACGACAAUAAAGGCUCUUGCCCAUGCUUUCCCCUCACCCCCUCUGCUUCCUGACCUGCCUGGUGCUUCCCCACCAGGCCCUGCGUGGCAUGGCAAGCCCGCAUCUCUUGGGAGCUGUGCGUGACAUGCUAUCUUUUCAAUGGCAGUUGUCUCUGAUCUGUUGACCUCACUAUACCUGGAUAAUAACAAAACCUAUGUUUUUAAACGCUCAGCUACCACCUCUCAGCCAAAUAAAACGAAACCCA
rnacentral:lncRNA from 1 species